UACGAAGGGGGCUAGCGUUACUCGGAAUUACUGGGCGUAAAGCGUGCGUAGGCUGUCUUGUAAGUUGGUAGUUAAAUUCCCAGGCUUAACUUGGGGCCUGCUAUCAAUACUGCAAGACUGGAGUACUGGAGAAGAGAGUAGAAUUCCUAGUGUAGAGGUGAAAUUCGUAGAUAUUAGGAGGAAUACCAGAGGCGUAAGCGACUCUCUGGCCAGAAACUGACGCUGUUGCACGAAAGCGUGGGGAGCAAACAGG
rnacentral:rRNA from 1 species